rnacentral:rRNA from 2 species
GGGUGAGUAAUGCCUGGGAAAUUGCCCUGAUGUGGGGGAUAACCAUUGGAAACGAUGGCUAAUACCGCAUAAUAGCUUCGGCUCAAAGAGGGGGACCUUCGGGCCUCUCGCGUCAGGAUAUGCCCAGGUGGGAUUAGCUAGUUGGUGAGGUAAUGGCUCACCAAGGCGACGAUCCCUAGCUGGUCUGAGAGGAUGAUCAGCCACACUGGAACUGAGACACGGUCCAGACUCCUACGGGAGGCAGCAGUGGGGAAUAUUGCACAAUGGGCGCAAGCCUGAUGCAGCCAUGCCGCGUGUAUGAAGAAGGCCUUCGGGUUGUAAAGUACUUUCAGCAGUGAGGAAGGCGGAGUCGUUAAUAGCGGCCUCGUUUGACGUUAGCUGCAGAAGAAGCACCGGCUAACUCCGUGCCAGCAGCCGCGGUAAUACGGAGGGUGCGAGCGUUAAUCGGAAUUACUGGGCGUAAAGCGCAUGCAGGUGGUUUGUUAAGUCAGAUGUGAAAGCCCGGGGCUCAACCUCGGAAUUGCAUUUGAAACUGGCAGACUAGAGUACUGUAGAGGGGG